CAGUACCUAUUUUUAUUUUGUUUAACACUGACCCGAAGGCUCUACCUGCAGAAUCUGCCAGUGAUCUAAUGCCAUCUUCAAAGGUCAUGUGUUCAUCCAGAGUGAAACCAAGAGAUCCCCCUGACUGACUGAGCUUUUGGAUCACACACGUCUGCCAAGAUGUUGAAGAAUUCCUAGGUCACAGACCAGAUGGUCACUGGCCAAGGAGGCUCUAUGGAUGUACCAAGGUGCCUGAUCAGUCUAUUAUGAGAUGAACAACCCCAAGACAAACCAAAACACAAGGAAUCGACUACAACACGUGUUUGUCAUCAAAACAAGAACAUCUCGUUUCAAGUGAUCAGACGUUUCAGAAGAGAUUACGGCAAGGCCUAAAACAAUGAACAUUCGGAUGAAUGUUCAGUCUCAUUGAAUAUUGAACUAUGCAGAUGAGCCGGAGUCUCAAGAGGAGAGCUGUCUCUUUUAUACACAAUGGCAGCUCUCUGAAAUAUAGCCAAUCAGAGGUGACCAUCAACACAAGAACAUUGGAAUCGCCCUGAGGAUGGGGAGGACGACUAAAUGGACAGCUCUAGGGUCUAGUAUCAUGUCACACAGAAGAGAAAGAUCAUCUCCACAAUAAUAAAUUGUCUGAGAUUGAACCACAUCUGCAAGAAAUUUAUGAACUUGUAUUUCUCUACUAACUUGGUCCUCUUCAUUAUGUUAGUCCAUAAAGGGUAUGUCUUUAACAAUGUACAAAACAUUCUCAAUGUGAAUAAAUG